GAAAAAAAGGAUAAUUUUUUUUUUUAUUAAUUAGUUCAUGACCGAAAAACAUACACAUACAUUUCAUCUGUAAAAUAUUUAUAGAAUAUAGGUAAAAUUAAAUUUUGAUCGGCAUAGAAUUUUUAAUUGUUAAUUAUUAUUGUAUGCAAUUCAUUCCAUUCAAAGCUAUAAUGCUAUUCUUUUUAUAGAACAACACAAACUAGGAAGUAUCAUUGAUUAAAGGAUUCUUGUUUGUUGCUGAUUUUGAGCAUAAUACUUCUUACUGGUUUUUUUUUUCUCCAGAGCAUUACAUUAUCCCAAGUUGUACAACUGUCACUUGAUCAUAUGAGUCAUUUCUUCACUUUUCUGCUAAAGUUAAUUACAAGAAUUUUUUUACCAAUUCAUUUUUUUUUUUUUUUUUUUUACAAAUUAGUAAUAUAACGGGCCAGUUAUUGAAUUUAAAUUAGAUCUUGCUUUUGCUUUGUGCAUUGCUGAUAAGUUAACUUGAACAGCGUGUUCCUUUGUUGUAUGCUGGCAAUGUCCCUGGCUAAUAAAUGAGCAAUGUAUGUGGGCAAUAACUUGCGAUGGUAAAAUCCUGAUCUAAAAUUAGAUGCUUUACUUCACAAUGAAAUUGUACAUUACAUCAUUUCAGUAUAUUUUAUUUUCUCUUGUCUUAUCCUAGUAGUGCUUGAUACUAAAUUAUUUUGAUGAAACUGUGGAGGUCUGAAAGAAUUGCAUAAAUUUGUAACUCUGCUUAUCCAUUGCCUCUUUUUCAGAUUGAUUCCUCUUGAUAAGGAAAGAGUCUCCUGUUCUCUGAUUAGAUCAUCCCAGCACUGCCUUGUGUACAUACUUCCUCAGUUCUUUGCUUUUCAACUCGAUCAUUCUGUCAUGGUCCUCAUUUCUUUUCAGCUCAUAAGUUCAAAUCAAGGUUGAUGGAAUGGGUUUUGUAUUAGCUGCAUAUUAUUUAUUACAUGUAUGUGAAAUGUAUAUGACACUUGUACUUUGCAUGUACAUAGAUCUGAAGAAUUGAAACAUAAAUAUUUUACACUGUUUUCCUAUAUUUCAUUCAUUUUGUGUGUGGUGGUUGCUUCACAUUUCAGUUAAAUCUCAAACCUGGUUGAACGUUUUACAGCAUUAGCUUUGGAUAGUGUUGUUUUGACAUUGUGUUAGAAAUAUACAUAACUCUCAUGUAAUGUAAGAUCCCAGAUUUGGCCCCUGUUUUGUUUUAGAAUCCUCUUGGGGGGGGGGGGGG